rnacentral:sRNA from 1 species
AGCGGUGUCCUCCACACCCGCGGUAGCGCCCUUCCCUAACACCCUCUUCCGCGGUAGCAACAGGAUGGAGGUGGCAGCAGCGUGCGGCAGCUAGACUGGAGGCGGUAGCACGAAUAUGGCAGUUGUGGGUGGAUCUGGUAGUGGCGACGGCUCCCUCCAACCCCUCUCGCCACCCUCCCACGGCGGAUUAAGCGCUGGUGGUAGCCGCGAGUGGAUCUGGUGGCUGUUGCGGUGGUGGUAGCCGCCAUGGGUGGAUCCGUCAGCGGUGACGGCGGCCGAGGGCAGAUCCAACGCCGGCGGGAGUGAAGUUCUUGGAAGUUCUUUGAUGUUGUGAUUCCAUGAUUCCUUUUGUGAUUAUGUGAUGAUGAUUGUGGUUUAUUUUAGGGGUGCAAAGUGUGAUUGAUUCGAUUCCAAGUGGAAUCGGUAUGUGACU